rnacentral:rRNA from 1 species
UACGUAGGUGGCAAGCGUUACUCGGAAUCACUAGGCGUAAAGCGCAGGUAGGCGGUUUGAUAAGUCUGUUGUGAAAGCUCCCGGCUUAACUGGGAGAGGUCAACGGAAACUGUCAAGCUAGAGUGUGGUAGAGGAAGAUGGAAUUCCCGGUGUAGCGGUGAAAUGCGUAGAUAUCGGGAGGAAUACCUAUGGCGAAAGCAGUCUUCUGGACCAUCACUGACGCUGAUCUGCGAAAGCUAGGGGAGCAAACAGG